UAUGUUUAGCCCCUCUAAAAUUAUCAAAAUAUAUUUUGGUUAUGAAUUUCUUUAAAUCACAAUUUUUUUUACAUGUUUUGGUGUUUGAAAGUCUUUUUUCCUCUUCACCCUCUUCUGUUCUUGGUCUGAGGCCAAGGAUUUGCUAGGGGAUAACUGAAGCCAAGGUCUGAAGCCAACGACAUAGGAGAGUUGUUCAGCAGCAUGCAAAUCAAUAAAAAAGAAAUGCUUGGGCAAAGGUCUUGUUCUAGUGCAUGUCUUACAGCUUUCUUAGAUGUCACUUGGAUAAUGAUUCAUCAGUGCUUAUCUAUUCAGGGCCUUUGCCCAUCAGGUGGCAGGAGUGAUACUGGUGGCAGCGAUGGUGGAACUGGAAGCAGGAGUGAUGCUUCAUUAAGGACAGGUUUAAGAAAUUGAAUGUUAUGUUUGAGGAACUCUAUUAGAGAUAAUCUCAGUGGACAGUUCCUGACAUCCAUCUGCUAGUGUCUCUCAGGCCUGCAGUUGCUGAAGUCUUG